CAUGAUACUCUUAAAAACAAACAACAACCCACAAAUUGCUGCAGCAAUGUGGAGAAGUGGGAAGUAAUGUGGAAAUUUAAGAUUGGAAAAUGAAAAAGUUAAGAUAAUUGAAACUGACAAUUCCUUCCAUUCAUAGUCUGCAUUCCUUGAAUUUUUUUCUUUUUGAACAUCUUUGAUAUAUUUUCCAGGGGCAUGACUAUAGCUUGGUGAUAUAGCAGAUGGUUUGCCUGAAGAGCGUCUCAGGUUCAGUCCAUGGUACCCCAAUUUAAAAUGAAAUAGCAGAACUGGGAAAUACCUUUGCUGGCUGAGAGCAUGGAUGCCAGUUAAAGACACAGUAGAGAGCACUGGGCGAGACCUGGGGUGAGGAACCAUGCUCCACCACAUGUUGCUGAACUGCAACUCCCAUCAUCCCUGGCCAUUGGGCAUGCUUGCUGGGGCUGAUGGGAAUUGUAGUUCAGAAACGACAGGUCCCUCAACCCUGGUCUAGACAGACCAGUGACCUACUUCGGUAUAAGGCUGGUUCUUAUUUUGUUGUGAGUCUGAGUCCUUUUCAGGCAUUACGUCUAGGUGUUAUUUAAACAUGUGGGGGGCAGUGGGAGUGAGUUCACUAUCUCAGCCCCCUUGUUGCUAACCCUACCACCUUCCAACUUGUGGUAGGUGAACGUCUGCAGUGGGGAGCCCCAAUUUCCCAUGGUUCUAAAAUGCAUGGGGAGCAUCCAUAGGUACAAAAGCUUCCCUGCAGCACAAAUUCAUCUUUCUCGAUUUGAAAGGUGACAGAAAUGUCAAUGGGGAUGUUGCUGGCAGACAUAUUCCCUCUGCUCCUCUCACAUUUACAGCCUGAAGUAUUACUUCUGUUAUACCGAUUUCCAUAAAUGUUUCUCUCCCUGAGUUAGGUCUUAAAGGUAAACAUCAUGUGAUGACUAGUGAGGCAGCAAAUGAAUGUCAGUAGCUCUCUGGGUGUGGAAUUAUUUCUUCAAUAGGUAAUUGGUUUGCAGAGUUGGGUGCAUGUGUCUGAGACCUUCACUCCGUCUCUCUCUCUCUCUCUGUGUGUGUGUGUGUGUAAAAAGAACACAAUAUUUGUCACUUAAACCUUACAAGAAGGACAGGUUACAUAUUGCAAUCAGUCAUUUCCCCACCACAGAGAUGGUUAGAGCUGAUAAGGUACUGCAUAUAAUAUGCUGGAUGUGGGUUCGAAUGUUGACAACACUGCUAUCUGAAGCACUGGCGUGUCUUCAGAAUGGCUUCUUAGGACGUGCCACUUAUCCAUUUCUCUAGGCUGCCAAAACCCAUUAUCAAUUUCACUUAACAUCUCUUUUUUUAAAAAAACGUAUCUUUAUUAAAGAUUUUCUUGGUUUACAAAAGUAUGUGCAAUCUCUCCCCCCUCCCCCGCCCCAGUAACAUGUUUAACAGAUCAGUUUCAUUAACAUCUCUUUUUGAAACUUUUCCUUGCAAGGCACUGACAUGACCAGCCACCAGGUGGAACGCUUUGAAAAGCGUAUGAAAGGCGGUUGGAGGUUGAAGAAAUUGUAUCCUGGAUCAAUUGCUCUUUUUCAGCAGUGCCGUUUGCUGUUAUUAAACUCUCAGCAUCUCAUUUGUCUGCUCUGGAUAACCACGCUGAGAAGCAUGUUCAUGACCCUGGUGAUGAGAGCUGAUAUGGCUGUCUUCAUAUCUCUUCAUUUUAAGCCCAGAAAAACAAACACACUUGAUAACUUUUCUGCCUUGACAGCAGCCCUGUGAAGCAAAUUUAUGCACAGUGCACUUCUGAUGUCUUUUUUUUUUUUUUUGGAAGGGGGUAGCCAUCAUGAAAAGGAUUAGCAAAUGUUAAGGAGAAGGCUCUGAGAAAGCUGCUGCCUUUCCUCACCAAUUACUGUAGUUCAAAAGGCAACUCAAAAUCGACACUGCCAAAGAUGCCGUCCACAAGUUGGAGCUGCGAAUUUCUUUAAUCUGCAAAUCUGUUUGUUGGAGAGCAAUUUGUGUGUGCAUGUGUGUUUGUGGGAAAAAUAUAGGAUGCUUCUUGACAGUAACAACAAAUCUAUACAUUUGAUACUAAAGAUAAAUUUGUGGAAAUUGUAAUGAAUAGAUAAAACCUGAG
rnacentral:lncRNA from 1 species